UUAGGUGAAUUAUGAUAAUUUAGUAAAUCGAAGCAAUGCUUCGAUGCAUCAUUCAAGUUUCUGACCUAUCAUGCUCUUGAUGGUAGUGUAUUGGACUACCAUGGCAGUCAUGGGUAACGGAGAAUUAGGGUUUGAUUCCGGAGAAGGAGCCUGAGAAAUGGCUACUAUAUUUAAGGAAGGCAGCAGGUGUGUAAAUUACCUAAUUUUAAAUUAGGGAGGUAGUGACAAGAUAUAACAACGCGAUUAAAUAUCGCGAUUGUAGUGGGUGUAUUCUAAAAAUAGCAUUUAGUACGAUUGGAGGGUAAGUCUGGUGCCAGUAGUUCGUAAUUCCAGCUCCAAUAGUAUAUAUUAAAGUUGUUGCAGUUAAAAAGCUCGUAGUUGGAUUUCAAGUGUAGUAUUUAGGUUUCUAGUAUGCUCUCUACCAGUCUUUGACUGUUACUGUGAGAAAAUUAGAGUGUUUCAAGCAGGUAAUUGCAGGAAUACAUUAGCAUGGAAUAACGAAUGUACUUACAAUAUGGUUAAUUGUAGGUUACGGUUAAUAGGGACAGUUGGGGGCAUUAGUAUUUAAUUGUCAGAGGUGAAAUUCUUGGAUUUGUUAAAGACUAAUGUAUGCGAAAGCAUUUGCCAAGGAUGUUUUCAUUAAUCAAGAACGAAAGAUAGGGGAUUAAAGACGAUUAGAUAUCGUCGUAGUCCUAUCUAUAAACUAUGCCGACUAGGGAUUGGUGGAGUGUAUACUCCAUCAGUACCUUAUGAGAAAUCAAAGUCUUUGGGUUCUGGGGGGAGUAUGGUUGUAAGACUGAAACUUAAAGAAAUUGACGGAAGGGCACCACCAGGAGUGGAGCCUGCGGCUUAAUUUGAUUAAUAUGGGGAAAUUUACCAGGUCCAGACAUGAUAAGGAUUGAUAGAUUGAUAGUUCUUUCUUGAUUUUAUGGGUGGUGGUGCAUGGCCGUUCUUAGUUGGUGGAGUGAUUUGUUUGGUUAACUUUGAUAACGAACGAGACCUUAACCUGCUAACUAGUCUUGUCUAUUUUAUAGAUAUAGACUUUUUAGAGGGACUAUGUUAUGAUGAGUGCAUGGAAGUUUGAGGUAAUAAUAGGUCUGUGAUGCCCUUAUAUGUUCUGGGCUGCACGCGUGCUACACUGAUGCAUACAGUAAGUUCCAUGCCCGAAGGGGUUUGGUAAUCUCUAAUAUGCAUCGUGAUGGGGAUAGAUCUUUGUAAUUGUAGAUCUUGAACGAGGAAUUCUUAGUAAAUGUAAGUCAUCAUCUUACAUUGAUUAUGUCCCUGCCCUUUGUAUAUAUUGCCCGUCGCUCCUACUGAUAUUGGGUGAUGAGUUGAAUCUAAUGGACUGGUUUUAGAAAAUUAUGUAAAACUUAUCACCUAGAGGAAGGAGAAGUCGUAAUAAGGUU
rnacentral:rRNA from 1 species